GUGGCUGCCCAUCCAAGCCUCAGGCUCUGCAUCUGUGGAGUGGGACAGCCAAGCCCUACCUCGCAGGACAAGCAUAGCAAGCAGCCUCAUUGUUGCCAGGCCGGGCCGAGGGAAGCAGGAAGGCUCCCCACCGAGGACAGAGAAACAGGGUCUCACUCUGUCACCCAGGCUGGAGUGCAGUGUUGCCAUCAAAGCUCACUGCAGCCUCGAACUCCCAGGCUCAAGCGAUCCUACCGCCUCAGCCUCCCGAGCAUCUGGGACUACGGGCAUGCGCCAGCACACUUGCACUAGCUCCUGGGCCAGGCUGGGCAUGGCGUAGAUGGAAGAUGGUAAAGAAGCCAGCUAGAAAGGCAGGAAUGCAGCGUGACGGUGCCAUACCCAGAGGGCCUGCCUGGGCAGCCCCCAGAGGCCUUCAAAGCUACACUGGAGAGCUUGGCCGAGGGACCAAUGGCAAUGGCACACACUGAAGUGUUUUAGACAAAAAAAACCGCAUGGCUGGAUGUGGCUGGCAAGAAGAUGGCCGGAGCUGCAGGUGACGAGUGAUCAAGAGGAGCCCAUGUCAGUGGGGACAGGUCACAGCUGAAGUGGGUGACCUGCAACAUGUUCAGCAGACGGAGUCUGGCUCUGUCGGCUAGGCUGGAGUGUAGUGGCAUGAUUUCGGCUCACUGCCACCUCCACCUCCCAGGUUCAAGCGAUUCUCCUGCCUCAGCCUCCUGAGUAGCUGGGAUUACAG